GAUGAACGCUGGCGGCGUGCUUAACACAUGCAAGUCGAGCGAGAAGUUUUGAAAAGAUUCUUCGGAUGAAAUUUAAAAUGGAAAGCGGCGGACGGGUGAGUAACGCGUAGGCAACCUGCCCCAUACAAAGGGAUAGCAUUUGGAAACGAAUAUUAAUACCUUAUGAAACUUAACUAGUGCAUGCUAGGUAGGUCAAAGAUUUAUCGGUAUGGGAUGGGCCUGCGUCUGAUUAGCUAGUUGGUGAGGUAACGGCUCACCAAGGCGACGAUCAGUAGCCGACCUGGGAGGGUGAACGGCCACAUUGGAACUGAGACACGGUCCAAACUCCUACGGGAGGCAGCAGUGGGGAAUAUUGCACAAUGGGGGAAACCCUGAUGCAGCAACGCCGCGUGAACGAGGAAGGCCUUUGGGUCGUAAAGUUCUGUUCUAGGUGAUGAAAACUGACAGUAACCGAGGAGAAAGCCCCGGCUAACUCCGUG
rnacentral:rRNA from 1 species